UACGGGAGGCAGCAGUGGGGAAUAUUGGACAAUGGGCGCAAGCCUGAUCCAGCCAUGCCGCGUGAGUGAUGAAGGCCUUAGGGUUGUAAAGCUCUUUCACCGGAGAAGAUAAUGACGGUAUCCGGAGAAGAAGCCCCGGCUAACUUCGUGCCAGCAGCCGCGGUAAUACGAAGGGGCUAGCGUUGUUCGGAAUGACUGGGCGUAAAGCGCACGUAGGCGGACAUUUUAAAGUCAGGGGUGAAAUCCCGGGGCUCAACCUCGGAACUGCCUUUUGAUACUGGGUGUCUGGAGUGUGGAAGAGGUGAGUGGAAUUCCGAGUGUAGAGGUGAAAUUCGUAGAUAUUCGGAGGAACACCAGUGGCGAAGGCGGCUCACUGGUCCACAACUGACGCUGAGGGUGCGAAAGCGUGGGGAGCAAACAGGGAUUAGAUACC
rnacentral:rRNA from 1 species